AGCAGUGAGGAAGGUGGGUAUGUUAAUAGCAUAUUCAUUUUGACGUUAGCUGCAGAAGAAGCACCGGCUAACUCCGUGCCAGCAGCCGCGGUAAUACGGAGGGUGCGAGCGUUAAUCGGAAUUACUGGGCGUAAAGCGCAUGCAGGUGGUUUGUUAAGUCAGAUGUGAAAGCCCGGGGCUCAACCUCGGAAUUGCAUUUGAAACUGGCAAACUAGAGUACUGUAGAGGGGGUAGAAUUUCAGGUGUAGCGGUGAAAUGCGUAGAGAUCUGAAGGAAUACCGGUGGCGAAGGCGGCCCCCUGGACAGAUACUGACACUCAGAUGCGAAAGCGUGGGGAGCAAACAGGAUUAGAUACCCUGGUAG
rnacentral:rRNA from 1 species